rnacentral:lncRNA from 1 species
GGAAACUAUACUCAGGAUUCUUAAAAUAUACAGAUAGGUACGUGUGAGAAUUUAAAUCACUUCCAAGUUCCAUCUAUAUCUCAGUCUUAGGAAAUCAGAAAAUCCUCAUCUACAUUAUCUCUUAAAGGAUGUUAAUCAGAACCUUCUACUGAAAUUACAUUAUUAUUGGUCUUUAGCUUUAUCCUUUAGAACACUGUUCUUAGGCACUACUCCGCCAUAUACCUUUGCUUUUAUACAC